GCCCGCUUAGCUCAGAGGUU
rnacentral:tRNA from 21 species